AUAAUUCUGGCAGUUUUGAGAAGCACUGUGCUGCCUGCUUAGGGCUACGAACAUUUCGGGUUGCCGCUUCCCCCUGCUGGAUGAUCCUGGAAUCCUAAGGAAGAAAGGAGGACGUUUCUCUACACUGGCUGCGUUCUAGUAAUGGAAGUCCACUGACGGACACAAGUCAAGACCAGCCAUGAUGACCCUUGAUAUAGUGGAUGAUAUUGGUAUCUUUGAUGUCUGAUGAAGCUCUAAGCUAUAAAUGCUCCACAAUGUCUGCUUGACUCACCUUCCUUCAUAGCCACUGAAAUAAAUUGUUCUCAUCUUCUCUCUUCAGUGGAAGAAAUCUCCCUAUGCUUGUAGAAAGACUCCUAACUUAUGGACAGGUUUGAGACCUGAUGGUUACCCUCAACCUGAUUUAGCCCAUCUGCCAAGAUGGUUUUUCCAGGGUUUGGCUAUUGCACAUGCUGCGGAUUCUUGGAGCCACAGGUGAUUCCUAUAAAUAUAUAGCAGAUUCGUAUUAUGUGUAUAUAGUAAAAAUCUAAAUUAAUUUUCUAGAAAAUCAGGUUAAAAGAAUGAAAUAUUUUACAAAGAGAAAAGAAAUAUUUCCUUGCUUAAGAAAACCAUGAUUAUGGAUAUAAUUUUUAAUGUUGAAAUAUGUAUUUCAUGAAAAACAUGCUAACUCCAUAAAAAGAAAUAUAAGAAUGUGAAAUAUUAUUAUAUCAUUAUAAUCAAAAAUAAUAAUAUAACCUUGGCAUUACUAAAACAGUAUAAUUUAUCAAAACAAGACACUUAACUUAUCGAAGUCCCAAUUUCUCAUCUAUAAAAUACGGGAAUAAAAUAGUUUGUAAGUUAGCUUAAAAAGUUAAAUUGAGUUCUAGAUAGAUAAUCCUAUGCAUUCUGUCAGUUUAAAUAAAUCACAUUAUCUAUGAUAAAGGGUAAUUUAAAAAAUUCUACUUUUUUUACCUCUCCAGAUAAAUGUAUAUUUCUUACAUUAUGAAUAUAUCAUGUUUUGUUUUCUUUUGUUUUUAAACUUUUCUGUUUUGUCUUAGAAUCAAUACAAGUAUUGGCUAUAAGAUAGAAGAGCAAGAUGAUCUAGGCCAGUGAUGGGGAACCUUCUAGAGGGGUGGGUGGAAUGAGAAAUGUCCUCAGGCACCUGUGGAGAGGGAGAGGGGAACAACCUGACCCCAUAUUCCUCUGGCUUUCUACUUAGGAAAUCUGUGCUAGGGAGACAGCACACAUGCCCACAGAAGAGGGCUGAGUGCCUCCUCUGGUAUGCAUGUCAUAGGUUCCCCACCACAGGUUUAGGCAGAUGGGGCGAAAUGACUUGCUCCAUAGUUGCACAGAUAGGAAGCAUCUGAGACCAGAUUUGAAUAAAGGUCCUCCUGACCUGUGGCCUGGCACUCUACCCACUGUGCAAUCCAGCUGUUCCUGUAUUAUGUUUUCUAAUGUCAUAAUGAAACAGUUGAAUAAGCCCAUACUUAUUAUAUGCCUAUCAUGUAAGUGUUCAGCACUGAGUUGGGAGAGGAAUGGUUGUAGGGCUAAGGAAAUCAGGAAGAAAGCACUUGAUAGUUAAUUAUCCUUACCAUCUUGGAGUUUAUGGUCUAACAGGGGGCCCAGAGGAAUACAUCAAAAGAUUUAUAUAAUUUAAGAAUUAUCCCAGAAUUUAUGAUCAUUGAGAUCAUGAAAAAAACAUUAUUUUGCCUUUGACCAAGCUCAAAAAUGUUGUAUUAUGUUUUGCUGUUACAAUAAACAUAGUCAGUGUCUAUAUAAACUUUCACAAUUGCCAUUGAUUAUCCAGGUUCUUGGGCCAGUGUGAAAUGCUUAUACCUCUAUUUCUAUGGAGCUGGAAAGCAACUGUUUACUAAAGAAUAUUAAGUUUAAAGAACUCUUCAUCUUCAUCCAUAAAUUCAUUCCAAAGGAUUCAAAGAACUGCCUACCAAGAACAUUUCGUCAAUCUCUGAAAAGUAGUUCCACAAACUACAGGAGGAAAAAAUAAUUCCCCAAGUAAAUCUCUAAUCAGAUUAAUGUUUUCACUUUGUUUCCCUAUUUCCCUCAUCUCUCUCAAGUUCUUUUAACUAAAUUCUAGAUGUAUGUGGAUACCUCCCACAACCAAUAUACCACUAGGAGUCACAUGCUCUUAGCAGAGGAGAAAAUUUAGAUCAAGUCUGAGUAUCCCAGGGAUGCAAGAGCACUCAAUGUCUCUUUUAUGUCUUAGAAUUUUCCUAAGUGAGGUUUCGCAUAAUACCCAAACAUCAGAUUAGAGCUAACUUCAUUUUACCAGAAGCAUAUUUUUUCUAAAAUUCUUUCACAAUUAAUGGGUUCCAAAAAACUUCAUUAAUAUUUUUAAAAGUAAAGAAGCAUUUAUUUCCCUUGUGUCUUUUAGAAUGGGGGAUCUUAGAAGGGAGGGAAAAGGGGAAGGAGAGAAUGUGAAUCAUAUAACCAUGGAAAAAUAAAUUUUUUUAAAAUAAUUUUUUAAGUGACACAAUAAAACAUUUUUAAUUUAAAAAAAA